rnacentral:rRNA from 1 species
AGAGUUUGAUCCUGGCUCAGGAUGAACGCUGGCGGCGUGCCUAAUACAUGCAAGUCGAGCGAACGGACGAGAAGCUUGCUUCUCUGAUGUUAGCGGCGGACGGGUGAGUAACACGUGGAUAACCUACCUAUAAGACUGGGAUAACUUCGGGAAACCGGAGCUAAUACCGGAUAAUAUUUUGAACCGCAUGGUUCAAAAGUGAAAGACGGUCUUGCUGUCACUUAUAGAUGGAUCCGCGCUGCAUUAGCUAGUUGGUAAGGUAACGGCUUACCAAGGCAACGAUGCAUAGCCGACCUGAGAGGGUGAUCGGCCACACUGGAACUGAGACACGGUCCAGACUCCUACGGGAGGCAGCAGUAGGGAAUCUUCCGCAAUGGGCGAAAGCCUGACGGAGCAACGCCGCGUGAGUGAUGAAGGUCUUCGGAUCGUAAAACUCUGUUAUUAGGGAAGAACAUAUGUGUAAGUAACUGUGCACAUCUUGACGGUACCUAAUCAGAAAGCCACGGCUAACUACGUGCCAGCAGCCGCGGUAAUACGUAGGUGGCAAGCGUUAUCCGGAAUUAUUGGGCGUAAAGCGCGCGUAGGCGGUUUUUUAAGUCUGAUGUGAAAGCCCACGGCUCAACCGUGGAGGGGCAUUGGAAACUGGAAAACUUGAGUGCAGAAGAGGAAAGUGGAAUUCCAUGUGUAGCGGUGAAAUGCGCAGAGAUAUGGAGGAACACCAGUGGCGAAGGCGACUUUCUGGUCUGUAACUGACGCUGAUGUGCGAAAGCGUGGGGAUCAAACAGGAUUAGAUACCCUGGUAGUCCACGCCGUAAACGAUGAGUGCUAAGUGUUAGGGGGUUUCCGCCCCUUAGUGCUGCAGCUAACGCAUUAAGCACUCCGCCUGGGGAGUACGACCGCAAGGUUGAAACUCAAAGGAAUUGACGGGGACCCGCACAAGCGGUGGAGCAUGUGGUUUAAUUCGAAGCAACGCGAAGAACCUUACCAAAUCUUGACAUCCUUUGACAACUCUAGAGAUAGAGCCUUCCCCUUCGGGGGACAAAGUGACAGGUGGUGCAUGGUUGUCGUCAGCUCGUGUCGUGAGAUGUUGGGUUAAGUCCCGCAACGAGCGCAACCCUUAAGCUUAGUUGCCAUCAUUAAGUUGGGCACUCUAAGUUGACUGCCGGUGACAAACCGGAGGAAGGUGGGGAUGACGUCAAAUCAUCAUGCCCCUUAUGAUUUGGGCUACACACGUGCUACAAUGGACAAUACAAAGGGCAGCGAAACCGCGAGGUCAAGCAAAUCCCAUAAAGUUGUUCUCAGUUCGGAUUGUAGUCUGCAACUCGACUACAUGAAGCUGGAAUCGCUAGUAAUCGUAGAUCAGCAUGCUACGGUGAAUACGUUCCCGGGUCUUGUACACACCGCCCGUCACACCACGAGAGUUUGUAACACCCGAAGCCGGUGGAGUAACCUUUUAGGAGCUAGCCGUCGAAGGUGGGACAAAUGAUUGGGGUGAAGUCGUAACAAGGUAGCCGUAUCGGAAGGUGCGGCUGGAUCACCU